GGUUACAUGAAGAGGCUUGGUCAACCCGGAGCAAUCCGGAUGCUAAGAGGGAAUUUGGUGCGAUCACGCAGGUGAUCAAGGCCAGAGCCGCCCCCGCGACUGUAAGCGGUGAGCCUUUGUUCAGACAGCCACUCUUGGGGAUUGCCCCUUGGGGAAGGCGAACACAAGGCGCUGACCCGCGAGCCAGGAGACCUGCCAGGCACGGAACUUUAAC
rnacentral:ncRNA from 2 species